rnacentral:rRNA from 1 species
CCUACGGGAGGCAGCAGUGGGGAAUUUUGGACAAUGGGCGCAAGCCUGAUCCAGCAAUGCCGCGUGAGUGAAGAAGGCCUUCGGGUUGUAAAGCUCUUUUGUCAGGGAAGAAACGGUCUACUCUAAUACAGUGGGCUAAUGACGGUACCUGAAGAAUAAGCACCGGCUAACUACGUGCCAGCAGCCGCGGUAAUACGUAGGGUGCAAGCGUUAAUCGGAAUUACUGGGCGUAAAGCGUGCGCAGGCGGUUAUAUAAGUCAGAUGUGAAAUCCCCGGGCUCAACCUGGGAACUGCAUUUGAGACUGUAUGGCUAGAGUGUGUCAGAGGGGGGUAGAAUUCCACGUGUAGCAGUGAAAUGCGUAGAUAUGUGGAGGAAUACCGAUGGCGAAGGCAGCCCCCUGGGAUAACACUGACGCUCAUGCACGAAAGCGUGGGGAGCAAACAGGAUUAGAUACCCUGGUAGUCCACGCCCUAAACGAUGUCUACUAGUUGUCGGGACUUAAUUGUCUUGGUAACGCAGCUAACGCGUGAAGUAGACCGCCUGGGGAGUACGGUCGCAAGNUUAAAACUUAAAUGAAUUGACG